GAUGAAGAACGCAGCGAAAUGCGAUAAGUAGUGUGAAUUGCAGAAUUCAGUGAAUCAUCGAGUCUUUGAACGCACAUUGCGCCCCCUGGUAUUCCGGGGGGCAUGCCUGUCCGAGCGUCAUUGCUGCCCUCAAGCACGGCUUGUGUGUUGGGCUUCCGUCCCUGGCAACGGGGACGGGCCCAAAAGGCAGUGGCGGCACCAUGUCUGGUCCUCGAGCGUAUGGGGCUUUGUCACCCGCUCCCGUAGGUCCAGCUGGCAGCUAGCCUCGCAACCAAUCUUUUUAACCAGGUUGACCUCGGAUCAGGUAGGGAUACCCGCUGAACUUAAGCAUAUCAAUAAGCGGAGGA
rnacentral:misc_RNA from 1 species